CUUCAACUUGAGAUCAAAAUAAAUUAAUUUGGAAGUUCCAUUUGCAAGAUUCAGUUACUGGGUUUCUAGUAUUUGCCAGCCCACAAUGACAGGAUUGACGCAAUCAUAUAGAAAAGGAUGAGGUUAAAGAAUGGAGGCAAAUGUUCGAGAAAAAUACAGCAUUACCACUGUAGGGUCACAGCUAGCUACGCCAAACAAGCAAAUUCACCUCACCAAAAUCAUUAAUCAGUAUAUUUCCCCAAGAGCCGCUACAAUAACAUUUGCUCCCAUUGCUGUUGCUCUUGAAGUUGGAAUUGGUCAAAUAGCAAGGCUUAAAGGUUAAAAUUUCAAUCCUUCUGCCCAUGGCUCACAUUUUCACUUCCACCAUUAUGGUCAAAAUUACUCUUAUAAAUUUCAAAAUCAAGUAAUGACCAAUGAGCUUUCUCUAAAAAAGCAUAUUAGACAUUGGUAAAUAACAAAAUGAG
rnacentral:misc_RNA from 1 species